rnacentral:rRNA from 1 species
UCGGGAAUUUUGGGCAAUGGGCGAAAGCCUGACCCAGCAACGCCGCGUGAAGGAUGAAGUAUUUCGGUAUGUAAACUUCGUAAGAAUAGGAAGAAUAAAUGACGGUACUAUUUGUAAGGUCCGGCUAACUACGUGCCAGCAGCCGCGGUAAUACGGAGGAUCCAAGCGUUAUCCGGAAUCAUUGGGUUUAAAGGGUCCGUAGGCGGUUAGAUAAGUCAGUGGUGAAAGCCCAUCGCUCAACGGUGGAACGGCCAUUGAUACUGUCUGACUUGAAUUAUUAGGAAGUAACUAGAAUAUGUAGUGUAGCGGUGAAAUGCUUAGAGAUUACAUGGAAUACCAAUUGCGAAGGCAGGUUACUACUAAUGGAUUGACGCUGAUGGACGAAAGCGUGGGUAGCGAACAGGAUUAGAUACCCUUGUAGUCCCUGAGCGGGCUGGCAAGGCGCAU